AAUUUGCUCCAUCAAUUUCUAAUCAUGUACUAUCUAAUCUUUCUCAUAUUUAUUGGUCCCUAAAAUUCAAGAAAUAAAUAAAAGAAUAUAAAUAUAUUUUAAAUAUUUAAUUUAUUCACAAUUCAAAAUAGCAUAAACUUUCACCAUUUUAUUAUUUACUAAUUUUUAUUAUUUCAUUUACAAAUUAUAUAUUUAUUUCACUAUUAAUAUCAUAAGAUAAUCAAAUUAAGAAUAAGAAACUAGAGCAUCAACGCAAAUAACCAAGAAAGCGGGACAAAGAAAGAAUAAUAAUCGAAAGGCCAAAGCCACCAAGAAGCAGGAUGAUAUAUGACUAAAGCACUGGAAUCACAACCAGUAGCUAAAAGGUAAGAAACAUCUCACAAACUAAACAAAAACAUACAAGAUGGCCAUGCAAGUGCAAAACCACAAAGCUCUGGAUAGAAGGGACCAAAGCUCCAAGAGACUAACUCCGCACACCUAUACCAAGAGAAAUAUAGAAAGAAAAGAAACAACUUGAGAGAGGGAGAAUGAAAGACAACCACUGAGAAAUCAGAGACUAAACUUGAGACCAUAAAUAACCUUCGAAGCCCACAUAGCAUACACGAACGAAAACAUUAUCCAAACCUGAAGUGGAAAACAUGGUGAAAGGGAGAGCCACCAGAGAUGCGAUGAAAGCUGCAAAGAGAUGCGAGAAUAGAGAGGGAAAGGGAGACGAAAUGAAAUCAGCAAACUAUGGAGCCGUCCUCGAGAUAUAAAAGAGAACAUAUAAAUCAGAACACCGAAAAAUAGAUCUUGAAAACCAAGACGAACAAAGACAUUAUUGACGGUAAGCCAACAACGAUGAAUACAACAUCAAAGACGACUAAACUCUGGCCCAACCAAAGAGACGCAGUUCCAAACAUCAGCUGAAAUCUAAGGAAGAAGAGGACCUGUCAAUAUUGACUGGAACAGCCUACAAUGCCGUGAGAAUCAACCGAACAACUGAAAACUCAUAAACCUGAUCUACAACAAAUACCAUAUAAUCUCACAUGUGAAGAAGGCAAUGAAGAAUAAGAGAUAGAGGUGAAUCUUUUUCCGGUGAUGGUGAGAACUAUCGCACACCAGAAAGGUAACAAAAUACAUAGACGGUGACAGCUCAAGGUCAAAAUAUGGGGAGAGGGCAUAAAACAUAGUUAUAAUUUUCAAAAAAAUAAAAUAAAAUAAAAUACAAUUUUGACGCUGAAACCGUUAAUCUUAUAAUCAACAAAUGCGUAGAUACAAAGUUAUUAAAAUUCAAUAUUCUUUUACGUUAGAGGCUCACUUCACUACUAACAAGUACUAUACAAACAAAAACAAAUUAUUUAAAAAAACAAACAUAAAAUAUAUUAAUAUAUCACCUACUACUACAAAACACACUAAAAAUACCAAGUAAUGCUCUUAACAAAUAAAAACGACAACAAACUUACAUUAUCCAAAAAAUCAUGCUCUUAGCAAUAAUAAAACAAUAUUCCGCGCGAAGCGCGGACAUCCCCCUAGUAUCUAAUACAAUAAAGUUAGCUUUUUUUUUCUCCAUAUGGGGAAAAAUGCCACGUGUCCAUCUAUAAUUUCCGUAAACUAGACUUUUAAUAUGAGCAUUUUAUUAUUUCUGUCGAAAUGCGAGCCCAAUAUCUCAUUUAAACAAAAAAAACCUAACUAAAUAACUCCUUUCACUUUGUAUGUCGUUUCGAUCACGGGAUUCAUGGCCAUUCCGAUUCCUUUCCCAUGCGAGCCAGCUGAGCAAUAACUCAAUUUCUGUGAGCUCAUGGUUGGCCGAUGUAGAAAUUUCUUUGUGACAAGGCUCCUUCGGUUCUGGGAAGCUUGCAAUGUCAAGAAAGGUGGAGAGUUGAUGGGUAUUGAUCUGGUCCUGCUUGAUAGAAAGUAAACUCUGAUCCAUGGCAUUGCAAGUUGCAAUUCGAUUCAUUGAGAAGGCAAAGCUCCAUGAACUCCAGUUACCUGCAGCGGGUUCAGCGAAACAGAGAGGGUUCGUCCUCAAGAAGAUAUAAUCAUUGAUAGUGUCAGAACUGAAUCCUUAUGUGCUCAACUUCCCACCACAGGUAAGACUCUAAGUUAGCCCCUUCCAUUAAAUAAAACGCUUCUCAUGACUCUUGAAGAAGCCAAGAGCAGAGAACUGGAAGCUGCACAUUUGCUUCUUCUUUCAACCUCAAGAAAGCUAUCUUCUUUUGAAUACAUUGACCUGUUUUGUGUUUUUGGGAUGCAUUUUCCUGAGUCAUUCUUUGAAUCCAAGCUGCGAGCCCAUGUCUUUACUACUUUGUUUAGCUUUUUUUUUCUCAGCCAGCUUUUGAUGUUUAUUUUGAGCUUUCCAGCGAAAAUAUGUCGUAAAGUUCUCUCCCUUUUGCCAAAUCAAAUUUAAUGAAGGUCUUUUAAAUACUCCAAAGCAAUCAACGCUUUGAAUAUUUACUUUCUUAAAGUGAUUAAGAAUAGUUAAUUCCUACUUUGUUUAGUUUGGUUCUACUGACUUUCAGAGCACAAACCAGCUUCAGGUACUAGAAAUGUAUUAAAUCUGAAUUAGUUGCAUUUAGAAUUCUAAUCUUUGUUUAUAAUGCUUUGUCUUAAUCUUUCUUUUUAACCUGUAGGACAACUAUCAAGCUUUCAUAUUGAAACCACUCAAUCUAAAUAACCGAGGCAAAGAGCUUUGUCCAUAAUCAGGGCAUAAGGAAUGAUGUCAUUGGGAGACUUAAAUCCUACAAUCAUGAUUGGAUCAGUGGUUUCCGAGUUGGAUUAAGGAUUCAGGCACCAUAUUCUUUGCAUCCGCGGUUCACGUUAUUACUUAUGGAGAACAUUUGGAGAGAGAUACUGAUGGGAAGAUCGCAACAGUUCAAACUUUAGUGUUGACAUUGUGUGAAAGCCAGCCAUCGUUGAUUUUGGUUUUGCAGAGCCUACUAUUACAAUGCACACCUUUAUGCUCAAAUUUUCCAAGGACAGACAGGAUUUAAUAUCAAAAUUAAGCAUUAUCAUCACAAUCGUUGCUAAAAACUCACUAAAGUAUGAUUUCCCAUGCAAAUUUAAGAUUUGCUCCAUUUCUCUUUUCUUUAAGGUUUGUCUGCAUUGUGGUGAGAGCGAUGAAUAAGUGUAUGACUAGAUCUUGACCCGCACGGGUGCUGGAUUUAACUUGCGGAUGUAAAUUUAUAAACCAUUGAUUUUAUAAAAUGUCCAUUUAUAUUUUUAUGUUUUC